rnacentral:lncRNA from 1 species
GACCCUUUUUUAACCCAAACAUUCAAGAUCAAAGCCACCCACCUUAAAUAAGAAAAGCUUUGGUGGUUGAGUGCUCACUUUAUCUCGUACUUCUAUGUAAAAAUGCCACAUGCAUGGGUUUGAUUUACAUAAUAAUAAUAAAAGGAAUUCAAAAGCAUUGCCUAUUUCUUCUUCAUAAUAUUAAAGACAAUUAAUCACAAGUGGUAAUAAAGAGGAAU